rnacentral:pre_miRNA from 1 species
CUGCUUAUCAAAGUGGUAGUGAUCUGUUUUUAUUAGCGAUUAAUCAUAUCACAGCCACUUUGAUUAGUGGUC